CAGCCCCCUCCCAUUCCCCAUCGUCUCACAUCGCUGCCACCCUUCCCCUUCUCGCCUCCCUCCAAUAGCUCGCCGCCGGCCCUCCACCUCCCCUGCUCUCACCUCGUAGCACCGGUAGCUGCCAGAUCCGCUGAAUCCCCCAGCCAUCCAUCCCUCUCCAACCCAUGCCUAGGGUUUUUUCCUCCAUUAGAUUGGUCCCUCCUGCACGCUCAUCUUUUCCGGGAUCCGUCGCAACCUCGCCUCACCUACUCCCCCUCGCUCUCAGAUCAACCAGACCAGGCUCCUCCCGUGGGAUCCAUGGCGUGGGUUGCCCUAUUGUAGCUGAUUUGUGAUGAGCGAGGCUGGGAAGAGGUGUUCCUUUUGGUGUGCCGCACGGUUCGCGUUCCACGACGUCCUUGGCUAGAUGUAUGUCACUUCUUCAGCACGUACAAAUUCACAGGGUAGUGAAGAUCAGAAGCUGCAGCUGUACGACCACGGUGGUGGUAAGAGAAGGACGUCCCCUUCCCUUCCUUGCUAGCUAGCUGUAUUGAUUUGGGUUGGUCCAAUCCAAUCCAUUCCAGCCACGUAGUUUGGCUGUAACAUAGGAGAGGGACACCUACAGUUGAGCUUCAGUUUGGACAGCAUUUGACACAUAUGGAUUGGGGGAUUUGGUUUACUUCAAUUUGUAUGUGCAUUCCUAAAACUUAAAAUGAAAUUGCUUGGGCGUUCAAUUCCUAUGAACCAAUCUGCCAAAUUUUCUAUUUAACUUGUGCUGCACCAAAAACUUAAUUUUUUCUGUUUUAUUUACCAAAUUUGUAGAGGCUUGAUAGAUAUCAAUGUCACCCUGCUGUUAGUUUGCUUGCUCUGGGUCUUGGGGGGUUGGGGAGUGUUGGGGCCUCACUCUACCCAGCUGCAAGAAGCUGGCUGGGGGAGCACUACUGUUUAGUAGUACAUUAUCGCCACUUGUCAGGUUUAUACUGUUUUUUAGCAUUUCAUGGCCGAGAGUGAUGUUGUGAAAUGGCCGAACAUAUAUAGAUGUUACCAUGGAAUUGAACCACAGUGUGAUUUAUGUGUGUUAUCAAAUGAACCCUCCUAAUGAUUUGUUAAAUGUUUGUUUGUGGUUUUUUCUUGCAUAAUCUGCUCUUGUUGCUUCUACAUUUAGUUCUUGCUUGCGUAUAAUUUUCUAUUGUAAUGAUUCAGUUCUUGCUUAUAUUCAUAAUUUGUGGUGUGUGUAAUCUUCUAUGUAAGGACUAAGUUCUUGCUUCCGUAUAAUCUGCUUCUGUAUUCUAUUCUCGUGUAACCUUGCUUUGUAAUGAUUCAGUUUCUGCUUCCAUAUUCUGUUCCUGUAUAAUUGGCUCUGUGGUACUCAAGGGAUUGCCGCCCAAGGACGUCGGCCGCUGCCGUGCUGUCAGUAUGUUGUGGCUGGUUGCUUAGUUUCUUACUGUUCCUAAUCCACACUCAUAUAGGUACUAGGCGAUCAUGUAGGUUAAGUUAGAGUUGUUUCUGGCAUGCACGAGGGGAAGGGCGAAAUGGCUCGGUUUGCUGAUGCUUUUAUUGCUAUACUAGGCAGCUAUGGAACCUUGGAGGAGUUGCUUGAAGUCAUCACGUGGGCACAACUAGGAAUAAAGAUGAUGGAUUUUGUACUACUGUAUUUCUGAAAAUGCGUGUACACAGAAUUGCAAUCCGAAGGAGCAAUGUUUGACACUUAGUCUGUGUUAUUGGAGAUUGAUGUUUUUGGCAAGAAUUACUUGGGUCAGCUGCCUGGAAGUGGUGCUGUAGUGUUGGAGUUCAAAUCAGCUAGUAGUGCAUUGUAGUCGUGUUACUUGAAUUCUUAAAAAAUGCUUAUAGUGUGUUCUAAAUAUGCUUGUGAUGUUUCGAUAUUAAGCUUUGGUUUUGGACAUCAGACUAGAUUGUUGGAAAUUUGUAUUGUCUUAUGGACAAAUGCUAUUAUUUGAAUGAAUAUAAUUUGGUUGCCUUUGUAAA